rnacentral:rRNA from 1 species
AUUGAACGCUGGCGGCAUGCCUUACACAUGCAAGUCGAACGGCAGCGGGGACUUCGGUCCGCCGGCGAGUGGCGAACGGGUGAGUAAUAUAUCGGAACGUACCUUUCAGUGGGGGAUAACGUAGCGAAAGUUACGCUAAUACCGCAUAUUCUGUGAGCAGGAAAGCAGGGGAUCGCAAGACCUUGCGCUGAUUGAGCGGCCGAUAUCAGAUUAGCUAGUUGGUGAGGUAAAGGCUCACCAAGGCGACGAUCUGUAGCGGGUCUGAGAGGAUGAUCCGCCACACUGGAACUGAGACACGGUCCAGACUCCUACGGGAGGCAGCAGUGGGGAAUUUUGGACAAUGGGGGCAACCCUGAUCCAGCCAUGCCGCGUGAGUGAAGAAGGCCUCGGUUGUAAGAC